ensembl:misc_RNA 7SK 7SK RNA
GGAUGUAAGGCCAUCUCAUAGUGACAUCUAUUAACCCAUUAAUUGCCAUGGUUGAUUUGACUGGGCCUCUAGCCCCUUCCUCCCUCACCACUCCAUGUUCCUUUUCCCCCAACACACACUAAGUGCUGUAUGGAAGAGGACAACCUUCCAUGAUGGAAGAUGUUCCUUGGUCAAGAAUAUACGAGUAGCUGUGGUCCCCUGCUAGAACCUCCAAAUAAAUAUACUCUCAAGGUUCAAAUAGUCUCUUCAUCUUGGAAUGAGUGAAAAAGUUUGGCAGAUAAUAAAAUAUCAAAUUAUGAGUUAAUGUAGUUU